GAGGGUAUAGCUCAGCGGUAGAGUGCAUGCCUAAGAUGCACAAGGUCCUGGGUUCAAUCCCCAGUACCUCUA
rnacentral:tRNA from 1 species